GGAUGUGAGGGUGAUCUGGCUGCGACAUCUGUCACCCCAUUGAUCGCCAGGGUUGAUUUGGCUGAUCUGGCGGGUGUCCCCUUCCUCCCUCACCACUCCAUGUGCGUCCCGCCCGAAGCUGCCCGCUUGGUUGAAGAGGACAGCCUUUCCCUAAUAGAGAUGGACUGGUCUUCAGUCGGUAUACGAGUAGCUGCGCUCUCCUACUAGAACCUCCACACAAGCUCUCAGGUGGGGGUCAGGGGCUUGAACCUGUGUCCUUGUGCACUAUAACGCAUGCAUUUUCAGAUGUGCCACUGCCCAGCCCUUAAAGUUCUGGUUUAU
rnacentral:snRNA from 1 species